GGCCUGAUAGUUCAGUGGUAGAAUUCUUGCUUUGGGUGUAAGAGGUUUCCGGUUCGAUCCCGGAUUAGGCCC
rnacentral:tRNA from 1 species